rnacentral:rRNA from 1 species
UACGGAGGGGGCAAGCGUUGUUCGGAAUUACUGGGAGUAAAGGGCGCGUAGGCGGCGAGGCUAGGCAACGGUGAAAGCUUGGGGCUCAACCCCGAGUCGGCCGUCGAUACUUCCUUGCUUGAGCACUGUAGAGGCAGAUGGAAUUCCGGGUGUAGCGGUGGAAUGCGUAGAGAUCCGGAAGAACACCGGUGGCGAAGGCGGUCUGCUGGGCAGUAGCUGACGCUGAUGCGCGACAGCGUGGGGAGCAAACAGG